rnacentral:rRNA from 1 species
GACGAACGCUGGCGGCGUGCCUAAUACAUGCAAGUCGAGCGAAGUUUUUCUGGUGCUUGCACCGGAAAAACUUAGCGGCGAACGGGUGAGUAACACGUAAAGAACCUGCCUCAUAGACUGGGACAACUAUUGGAAACGAUAGCUAAUACCGGAUAACAGCAUUAACUGCAUGGUUGAUGUUUAAAAGUUGGUUUUGCUAACACUAUGAGAUGGCUUUGCGGUGCAUUAGCUAGUUGGUGGGGUAAAGGCCUACCAAGGCGACGAUGCAUAGCUGACCUGAGAGGGUGAUCGGCCACACUGGGACUGAGACACGGCCCAGACUCCUACGGGAGGCAGCAGUAGGGAAUCUUCCGCAAUGGGCGAAAGCCUGACAGAGCAACGCCGCGUGAGUGAAGAAGGAUUUCGGUUCGUAAAGCUCUGUUGUUAGGGAAGAAUGAUUGUGUAGUAACUAUACACAGUAGAGACGGUACCUAACCAGAAAGCCACGGCUAACUACGUG